rnacentral:rRNA from 1 species
GACGAACGCUGGCGGCGUGCUUAACACAUGCAAGUCGAACGAUGAAACCUAGCUUGCUAGGUCGAUUAGUGGCGAACGGGUGAGUAACACGUGACUAACCUGCCCCUUUCUCUGGGAUAACGCUCCGAAAGGAGUGCUAAUACCGGAUACUCACACCGAGGCACAUGCCUUGGUGUGGAAAGUUUUUCGGAAAGGGAUGGAGUCGCGGCCUAUCAGCUUGUUGGUGAGGUAACGGCUCACCAAGGCGACGACGGGUAGCCGGCCUGAGAGGGCGACCGGCCACACUGGGACUGAGACACGGCCCUGACUCCUACGGGAGGCAGCAGUGGGGAAUAUUGCACAAUGGGCGCAAGCCUGAUGCAGCGACGCCGCGUGAGGGAUGAAGGUCUUCGGAUUGUAAACCUCUUUCAGUAGGGACGAAGCGAAAGUGACGGUACCUAAAGAAGAAGCACCGGCUAACUGCGUGCCAGCCGCCGCAGUAA